rnacentral:rRNA from 1 species
GACGAACGCUGGCGGCGUGCCUAAUACAUGCAAGUAGAACGCUGAAGGAGGAGCUUGCUCUUCUGGAUGAGUUGCGAACGGGUGAGUAACGCGUAGGUAACCUGCCUGGUAGCGGGGGAUAACUAUUGGAAACGAUAGCUAAUACCGCAUAAGAGUAGAUGUUGCAUGACAUUUGCUUAAAAGGUGCAAUUGUAUCACUACCAGAUGGACCUGCGUUGUAUUAGCUAGUUGGUGGGGUAACGGCUCACCAAGGCGACGAUACAUAGCCGACCUGAGAGGGUGAACGGCCAAACUGGGACUGAGACACGGCCCAGACUCCUACGGGAGGCAGCAGUAGGGAAUCUUCGGCAAUGGACGGAAGUCUGACCGAGCAACGCCGCGUGAGUGAAGAAGGUUUUCGGAUCGGAAAGCUCUGUUGUAAGAGAAGAACGAGUGUGAGAGUGGAAAGUUCACACUGUGACGGUAUCUUACCAGAAAGGGACGGCUAACUACGUG